UACCCAGCAAUUCCUAUCCCUACGCCCUCGUGGUACAGGCCGGAAACUAUGAGCAACCUCAGGAGAGAUCAGGUAACUAACCCCGGUGGGAACUUUGGUCGUUUGCUGAUAGGGAAGG
rnacentral:ribozyme from 1 species